rnacentral:rRNA from 1 species
AUUGAACGCUGGCGGCAUGCCUUACACAUGUAAGUCGAACGGCAGCACGGGUGCUUGCACCUGGUGGCGAGUGGCGAACGGGUGAGUAAUACAUCGGCACGUACCUUAUCGUGGGGGAUAACGCAGCGAAAGCUGUGCUAAUACCGCAUACGCCCUGAGGGGGAAAGCGGGGGAUCGCAAGACCUCGCGCGAUUAGAGCGGCCGAUGCCUGAUUAGCUAGUUGGUGGGGUAAAAGCCCACCAAGGCGACGAUCAGUAGCUGGUCUGAGAGGACGAUCAGCCACACUGGGACUGAGACACGGCCCAGACUCCUACGGGAGGCAGCAGUGGGGAACUUUGGACAAUGGGGGCAACCCUGAUCCAGCAAUGCCGCGUGAGUGAAGAAGGCCUUCGGGUUGUAAAGCUCUUUUGUCAGGGAAGAAACACCGGCUCUAACACAGUCCGGGAAUGACGGUACCUGAAGAAUAAGCACCGGCUAACUACGUGCCAGCCGCCGCAGUAA